UCCAACCCUUUGCCUUCUCUAGUUAACCCGUUGCAUGCCUCACUCUGACCCAGUACCGUUGGGAUUUUGGCAGAGGCUGGUGAUUCGCGACCGAAACGAUUAUCCCAUCGAAACGGGUCGAGUUUCGCCGUAUCUGCGGGUAAACACGUCAACUUUCGAAACAUUUGACCCAUCCGACUCGCUCUUAAACGACAGAGAGUGAAGGUCGAAGCACUGGCACCUAGCGAUUAAAAUGCACAAAAGGGAGGGAAUUUCUCUCUUCCGAAGCAGUUUCCUUCAUUCCAAUGCACUAGCAGCAGUUCUACCACAGUACGAGAACCUGAACAAAAGAGCUACAUCUAUUUACGAAAAUGUCUUCACCGUAAAGAAUCAACGAAGAGAAACGGCCGAGAUCUUCAUUGAACACUGUUCAGAUUGGUACCAAAGGUGCGGCAGGAUAUUGUGUAAAUAUACCAUGAUGUUGUGGAGGGGUUGGCGAUAAUGAUUAUACUUUUGCAUUUCAGCAUGUUGUGCUACCUAAGUGCCUAUAGGUUAAUAUCUCACUUUAUUCAUGCAUCUGCUCUCAUUUCAGUGGGGGAUGGUGGGCAGUAUGCAGUAUUGGUUUUGUAAUGUGAAAGUCUGAGUUAGCCAAAGUAAUCAAGCAUUUCAGCUUAUUAUACUAAGUAAAAUAUUGAAGAAGUCCAUCUGUCAAUGUGCGAGUGGUGGCCAACUGGUUAUUAUCAUAGUUCACCAGUGGUUUGGGGAAUACAUAUUAUUUUAAAAUUUACAAAAACACAUUGCAUGCUAUUAAUACUGUUUUGUUGAAAGCUGCUCUCUGGUUCUGAAGUCCAUCUCUUAUUGCCCUUUGGAAUGGUCUUCAACUGUCAGUUGGUGCUGAUUUGGGAUUAGGAUGAAGUGGCUGAAAUGGGAGCAACUGGAAGUUGUAAAUGUUUCUCUUAAAUUGUGUACUGUUUCUGCUUAUCAAUCUCUAAGGUUCCUUGUGUUGCUUUGCAUUGAGCUCGGGUGCAGGCUGCUCUAUUGUCAUGGUGUUUUUUAAUGCUUGAAAUAGGCAAAUUGCAACCAAACUGUCCUUGAUGACAGCAUAUGACUAAUCAAAGAUUUAUUAUGUUGGCUGUGAUUAAUGCAUGUUUACUCAUCAUUUUUUGUUCCAUGGAGGAUUUAGCUGUGGUAUUAAAUUCACUUUUUUGGUUUGGUUUGCAGUCAUUUUGUUUCGAAUAGCCAGUGUAAUACUCUGUUCUAACCACUUCAUGGUGUUGGAACCAUAUUAUUGCAGCUGCUGAGUUUGUGCCUGAUUUCACCAUCAUAUCUGUUGGUUUUGAUGCAGCAAGGGGUGAUCCUUUGGGCUGCUGUGAUGUAAGGACUUUCCCUUUUGUCUAAAUGAUUUGUUAUAGUUUCAUAGUUUAUCAUUUAAUCAAACAUAACUACUGCCAUAGCUAUUUGAUUGUUUCCAUGGUGUUCUCUUGUCAAACUGUCUGAUGAAUUUUAAUUGUAUAACAUAGGGUAUUUUUGGCAGUAGUCCUUUCAACACACUCGACUUUUAUGCCAAUUCUACUUUCUUGGAGUAUCUUUUCUGUAAUUUUAAUUUUUGUAUUUCUAUACAUUGACAUCUUAGCAAUUCCGUUGCAUGUAACUCCUGCUGGCUAUGCACAGAUGACACAUAUGUUGUAUACUCUUUCUGGUGGAAAGUUGCUUGUUAUUCUUGAGGGCAGGUUUCUUUACUUGCUUUUAUAUUUCUUAUCAAUUUAUUUAUUUUAAUUUUUUGUUGAGUUCACAUUGAUAAUAAACUUGUUUGUUGCAGCUACAAUCUACGCUCCAUAUCCUCUUCUGCUACUGAAGUGAUUAAGAAAAAAAAAAGGGGUAUUGCUGGGUGAAGGCACUGGUCUUGAAUUAGGCAACCCUGUCCCUUCUAAAGCUGGCCUGCAAACUGUUCUGGAAGUAGUGAAGAUUCAGAUGCACUUUUGAUCUUUCUCUGGAGUCUAGUGUUGCAAAAUUGAGUUGCAAUGGGAAGCAUACUGUUCUGAGAGUAAAAAUGAGUGGUUCCCAGUCCUUCUAUCAACUUUUCAGUCAAGUUAAUGGUUGAUGGUUUAAAUUUAGGCUUGUAUUUUUUUUGUUCUUUUUCUUUUUUAUUCUCUUGGUUGCUUUGAAAAUGGAAAGGAAAUGGAAUUGAUCUGCAAUUCAGAAAUAUGUUUAGAUAGCAAAAUAAUCUUUUUUUGACCUUUACCUGCAGAAAAACAAAUUAAAAAGAGGCGUAGGAGAGCUUAUUGUAUCAUUUACUUGGUGGGAUCUUUGAUAAGAUCAACUGCGGCUGACUAGAUCCUCUCCUUGUUCAUCUGCUUUGGUUUUGUGAAUUUUUGUUAUCAGUAGUUGCAAUACAACUAUUUGUUUAGGAUGCUGAUUCCUUACCGAUAAAAUCACAUAUUAGUUGCUUUGGUCAAAGAAUUGACAUUUUUAUUUAUUUAUUUGUCCUCUUUUAUCA